rnacentral:rRNA from 1 species
UACGGGGGGGGCAAGCGUUGUUCGGAAUUACUGGGCGUAAAGGGCUCGUAGGCGGCUCGGUAAGUCAGGUGUGAAACCUCCAGGCUCAACCUGGAGACGCCACCUGAUACUGCUGUGGCUAGAGUCCGGUAGGGGAGCGUGGAAUUCCUGGUGUAGCGGUGAAAUGCGCAGAUAUCAGGAGGAACACCAGCGGCGAAGGCGGCGCUCUGGGCCGGAACUGACGCUGAGGAGCGAAAGCGUGGGUAGCAAACAGG